UACAAGAGUUGAAAAACUCCCUAAACCCACUGUGAACCUACCUGUAUUUGUUGCUUCGGCGGGCUGCCCCAGGGCGGGGUUCUAGGCCUUAUAGGUGCCCGCCGACGGCUCCCUACAAACUCUUUUGUCAUUUGGGUGCUCUGAGUGAAGAUCAAAUGAGUCAAAACUUUCAACAACGGAUCUCUUGGUUCUGGCAUCGAUGAAGAACGCAGCGAAAUGCGAUAGGUAAUGUGAAUUGCAGACUUCCAGUGAAUCAUCGAAUCUUUGAACGCACAUUGCGCCCCUUAGCAUUCUAAUGGGCAUGCCUGUCCGAGCGUCAUUUCAACCACUCAGGCCCCUACGGCCUGGCGUUGGGGCAUCUACGGCGUGAAACCGUAGGCCCUGAAAGACAGUGGCGGCAUCCGCUGGCACUCCGGGCGCAGUAGAAUCUCCUUCUCGUCCAGGACGUCCUGCGGGCUGCCGGCCGUAAAACAGCCCCAAAAAUUACAAGGUUG
rnacentral:misc_RNA from 1 species